rnacentral:rRNA from 1 species
CUACGGGCGGCAGCAGUGGGGAAUUUUGCACAAUGGGGGAAACCCUGAUGCAGCGACGCCGCGUGCGGGAAGAAGGCCUUAGGGUCGUAAACCGCUUUCAAUUGUGAAGAAGGGAUGAGAGUUAAUAGCUUUCUGACUUGACGGUAGCAUUAGAAGAAGCACCGGCUAAUUUCGUGCCAGCAGCCGCGGUAAUACGAAAGGUGCAAGCGUUGUUCGGAUUUACUGGGCGUAAAGAGAUCGUAGGUGGUUUAUUAAGUCGGAUGUGAAAUCCCGGAGCUCAAAUUCGGAACUGCAUUCGAUACUGGUAGGCUAGAGUUCGGGAGGGGAAAGCGGAAUUCCGUGUGUAGCAGUGAAAUGCGUAGAUAUACGGAGGAACACCUGAGGCGAAGGCGGCUUUCUGGACCGAUACUGACACUGAGGAUCGAAAGCGUGGGUAGCAAACAGGAUUAGAUACCCGAGUAGUC